UGGGGAAUAUUGCACAAUGGGGGAAACCCUGAUGCAGCGACGCCGCGUGAACGAAGAAGGUAUUCGUAUCGUAAAGUUCUGUCCUAUGGGAAGAUAAUGACAGUACCAUAGAAGAAAGCUCCGGCUAAAUACGUGCCAGCAGCCGCGGUAAUACGUAUGGAGCGAGCGUUGUCCGGAAUUAUUGGGCGUAAAGGGUACGCAGGCGGUUUAAUAAGUCGAAUGUUAAAGAUCGGGGCUCAACCCCGUAAAGCAUUGGAAACUGAUAAACUUGAGUAGUGGAGAGGAAAGUGGAAUUCAUAGUGUAGUGGUGAAAUACGUAGAUAUUAGGAGGAAUACCAGUAGCGAAGGCGACUUUCUGGACACAAACUGACGCUGAGGUACGAAAGCGUGGGGAGCAAACAGG
rnacentral:rRNA from 1 species